rnacentral:lncRNA from 1 species
GGUGUCACCUGCCUUUUGGGGAACCCUCCGGCUUUUGGGGGACCCCCAUGAGGUGUCACCUGCCUUUCGGGGGACCCUCUGGCUUUUGGGGGACCCCCCGUGAGGUGUCACCUGCCUUUUGGGGGACCCUCCUGGCUUUUGGGGGACCCCCAAGACUUUGGGACACCCCCAAGCUUUGGGGGACCCCCCCCAGCUUUCCAGCAAGAACCAGCUCUUGGGUGAACCCCCAAAGCCCCCCCUUUGCUUUCGGGGGCCCCUCCCUUUCCCCAGGCUGCCAAAUUUGGGGGGGCUCCCCGGAACCCCCCCAAUUUUUUAAUCCCUUCUCACCUUUUUUAUGUGUUUUUAAAGUCAAAAGCUUUUUUUGGGGGGGGGCCCCCCAAAUUUGGGGGUGGGGGAAGGACUAGGCGAAGGUGCAGGCAGAUUUGGGGGGGCCCCUGGCCGGGGCCGACUGUCACUUUAAGGGGGGUCAGUGCAAUGGGGAGGCACCCCGAUAUUUUAAGGGGGGGCCCCCUCGGUUUGGGGGUGCC